rnacentral:lncRNA from 1 species
CUUUAAUCUGACACAAGUAUGGCCUGCCACCCUCAACUGGAUAUUCUUUGUCUUCCUUUGGUGUAUCCACUCUGAGGGAUGUGCACACAAGAAUUUGAGAGGAGAAGCCAUGCAAACUGGAACCUCCGAAGAAUUAACUCUAGCUAAUAGACUGAGAUCUAAAGAAUUAGAUCCCGUGAAGCAUUUCAGGUGUCUAUUCAUUAAUCACUGGUUAAGAAAUACCUCUCAAGGCUUAUGUCUGAAGACAGCUGUAGUCAAAGAGCAGGUGAGCUGUGGCAAAUUACUGAUGCUCUGGUCAUGAAUGAGUUCUCUCUGGAUAAAUCACAUCUGAUGUUUUGGUGAAAAUAGACAUGCAUUUUGAAGCAAUGAACUGCACGUCUCUUCAGCAAGCCUCAAUGUAAAUCUGUGAUGUAUCUUUUUGGCAUCAAGACUGCCAGCAGCAAGGUGAAGAUGAGUGUGAUCUGCUAGUUGAAUGCUGAGCAUAUGGAAGGACAUCCUGUGCUAGGAACAAAAGGACAGUCAAGAAGAAUGAGGAAAAAGCAAACUUCAGCAGGAAAGCUUUGUAGUCCUUUGAGCACUGCUUCUUUAUUUUGGUUGUGGAUAAUUCUGUGUCUGCCUCUGUAGUUACUCCUUUCUAAGAACAACAUUAGACAACACUGAGCUGUGGUGCUUCAGAUUCUUUCUGUGGAUUAAUCUUCAGGUUCAAAAUUUGGGUUGGUACAAGGACCAUCUGUUUAGUGUAGUUUGCAGGCAGAGUGAAGAUAUGUAUGUUGUAAUUGUAUGUAACUCACUAAAUAGAGAAGGCAGAGAAUGUACUUGAACUUCUAUGUUUGUACUGAUGGACAUUUUGUAUAUACAGAGUUGUUCAGUUGAAGCUUUGGCUUUCCUCUUCUUUCUACUGUUGUGAGUGGUUAUGCUGCUAAUUUUGUUCAUGCUUGAGAGUGCUUGUAAAGAAUGAAGUGAUCAUAUCUUUUUUUUGUAUGUGGUGAUGUGGAGAAAAAUUUCUGAUUGCGCCUUUAUUGCGUUUGAACGGUGCAAUGGCUUCCAGGGUUAGUAAGAAAUAGAGACAUUCUCUGUCACCCAAGCUUUUUCUGUACUGUUCUGGUUAUAAUAGCUUAACACUCUGAGAAAGGGGACAUUUCACUCUGUAUUUGUACCUUCACAUUUCCCAUCCUGACAGCUUAUACCUUGUACUGAUGUUAAUUUUGCUUCCUCUUUGGCUCCAUUCUCAUUCAAUUCGGUCACUGUAUAUAAAAAUUUGCUUCUUGUUGUCCUGUUUGCUAUAAACAUUACUUCACAAG